CCUCACGCCUCCAGUGUUCUUCGAUUCGCCGUCUCACACCUCCGCCUCCGCCCGUAGCUGUGAAAAGAACGAAAGAGUUAAACCCUAAUUCAUCCAUCACUCAGGUUUGAUUCUGGAUAUGGAUCUGGGAGACCAUCUACAUAUGCUGAACAUUCCAGCACUUAUGCGGCUAUGCUUUUCAAAUAAUUUUCCAGAUGAACGCUGGAGCUGUAACGCUUACAGACUGUGUCUUUUGGUUUGUUCUUGUACCAUAUCUGACCUUCGAAGGCUACAAUUUGAAUUUUGUAAGUACAGUGAGUGCCCGGAUUGAAUUCUCUGUGGACUAUGUUGUCGCCGGAAGGCUUGGGGGAGCGGGUACUUAUAUAUUUUACCUCCAUUAUUUAUUCAAAUGAUUUUUCAAUUUCAAAUAGAACUUCCAUUAUUUAUUCAAACGAAACACAUUAUAACUGUUUUAUUAUUAUUAUUAUUAUUAUUAUUAUUAUUAUUAUUAUUAUUAUUAUUAUUAUUAUUAUUAUUAUUAUUAUUAUUAUUAUUAUUAUUAUUAUUAUAAAAGUAAAACCUAUUAUCAAGAUUGAUCUUAUAUUUUGUUAUCCUAUGAACUGAUUGUACUGGGUAUGUUGUUCUGGUUCUUAGUCAUGAAUGAACCUAUUGGACAUUCUGGUAACCCUGAUUUCUUAAAGAGAAAUAGUGUACUGCUGGUUUAGAUUUUUGUGUUAAGAAAGGGCUAUAACUGAGGGUGUGCACAGUUUUCCCAUAUCUGCACUCUGAUGCUAAAUGGUGAGUUCCAGUUAGUUUUAGUAUGGCAUGCUGUCAUAUAUGAGCCAUCUGAGUAAAAGGAGAAAAUUGAAUUGUCUCAGUCAUGCAUCCAACCUAGUUGGGCAGAGUGGUCUAGAGUUAGUUUGUCACAAUGGUUUUCUAUUUUAUUUUGAUCAAUAAUCUAAGUUCACUUCUUUUUGCACUGGGUAUGUUGUUCUGGUUCUUAGUCAUUUGUGACUGUUCAAAAACCUAAGUAGGCACUCAACUAGUUAUUUUCCCACAAAAGAUGUACUGUAUUUUGUGAAAGUUAUAUAAGGCUGGCAUUGCUAUUGUUAUCUAUGCAAUGUUUGAGUAAAAUUGAUUCUUCCAGAACCUAAUCCCAUUCGUAACACAGAGCAGUGGUUGUCUUGGAUGUGAUAAUAAGGCAAAAUUGAUUUUAUCCUCUAACAAGUCACCAAACAAAGGAUAACAUGGCUCCAGUAUGUAGCACAUCAGAAGAUUUCUGGACUACUAGCACACGGGGCAUGGAUACCAAUGGACAAAAAAUCUGGAAUCAUUUGAGAAGUUGUUACAUAUUCCUGCAUCUUAAUCUUGUACCAUGCAACUUAAAAUGCAUUAUAAGCUAUUAGCUUAGCCUUUAUGAUUUGAAGAGACUAGGAUAUCUGCCCUUCCAACUGUCUUGUCUAGUUGCCUUAGAAUCCAAUAUGUUGGAUAUAAUUACAUCGAAUCUUUUGUGUUUUUUAUCUGCUGGUGCCUGGUGGUUAGAAUAGGUAGAUAUAUUUUAAUCCCUGACCCUGUGGUGCUUCAUACAUCUUCAGCCCCUUCAUUUCUAUUUAGUACCAUUUUGUGAACCAAAUUAUUGUUAGCAUAGUUAUUGGAGAACAGUUAGAAUAUACUGUACAUGAGUGCACGACAGUAAAUUGAAUUAUAAUUACUUUUCAGUGGAAGUUUGCAUUAGUUUGUAGGGGAUAUUUUAAGUACCAAGAGGACUCUGAUAUUUUGUCAAAAUGCUUUGAGUGAUUGAGAGCAGUACCUUGGAAUGGAGCAUACUGACAAUGCUCCUAAAUGCCCAAAUUCUUCUUCAGCCCCUUCUCGUUCUUCCACUUCCGACGUGGCUUCAUUCGCCCGCGGCAGCUCUUCCUCCUGGAGUGGCAAUCUUUCUAUGUUGCAUGUACGCCUAAUGUCUGCUGAAGAUGAAACCAGAAGCUGCUGCAUUGAACCUGGAAAUAAAUUAGCUACAAACACGUAUCCUUACGUUGAAAAUGGAAGCUGCCGCGAAUACGUAUGAUGAGCCUGGAAAUGAAUAUACUGCUACCACGUAAUGAUGAACCUGGAAGGCAGUACAACUCCUUACCAUUUGAAAAAUAGCUCGCAUGCAACCAUCCAACUCCUUACCAUUUGAAAAAUAGCUCGCAUUCUGGGGAAUCUGCCAGCAAAUCUUCCCAGAAGGCAGGAAUGAUGUGCAUACAAGAAGUGGUGCAAGGUUGAGCUUGAGGAGAUGCCAUGUAUUGAGUAUUGCGUCCUGCAAGGUGGUGAGAGUGAAGACAUAAUGGGCAGAAAGGGCACCUAAGAGAGGGAUUAUAAACAGCAGAUUCGAGGCAUGGGUAAUCAAGAAAUGGAAAAAAUGGUUCAAAUGUUUCAGUCUGCGGCGUGAUGGGAGAAUAUUGUUAUUGUUCUUUUGUGUGUCCAUUGUCAGCUAGGUAUAAGACCAUAUAACAAUAAUCUAUGUGUUCUUGGAUGUAAGAGUAUCUUCUACAGUACAAGACAUGUAUCCUGAUCGCUGAUAUACUAAGAUUCAUAUGUAACAAUAUUUUUCAUUAAGUCACAUUAA